UACGUAGGGGGCGAGCGUUGUCCGGAUUUACUGGGCGUAAAGAGCGUGUAGGCGGCUUUACAGGUCCGUUGUGAAAACUCGAGGCUCAACCUCGAGACGCCGGUGGAAACCGUAAAGCUAGAGUCCGGAAGAGGAGAGUGGAAUUCCUGGUGUAGCGGUGAAAUGCGCAGAUAUCAGGAAGAACACCCGUGGCGAAGGCGGCUCUCUGGGACGGUACUGACGCUGAGACGCGAAAGCGUGGGGAGCGAACAGG
rnacentral:rRNA from 1 species